rnacentral:lncRNA from 1 species
GUGGUGAUGGCAAGGGGGAAGGAGGGGAGGAUCUGUGGGUAAUAUCCUUUCUUUUGUUGGAUGGGAGGCCACACAACGUGUUUUUCAAAAUGGGAUUCGGUAUUUAUUUCUUCUGUUUAUUUAAUUUAGUUUGGCCCCGGAGGAAGACAAAGUCUUCAAUUAACUUAGGUGCAUUGUUGAAAUCUUCUGAUUGCAACCGUGACUCCUAUAAUUCCUUCUUAUCUCCGAAUGCGGAUCCUCUGUAGUACACCAUAUGAUGCAGUGCAUCAUAUACAUCAUUUGUUGUACGAUAGAUGGCUGCGUGUAGAUGUGAGCUAUGCAAUUCACAUCAUGUAUGACCGCAUGCAGCCAUCUAUUGUACAAUAGAAGGAGUGCACGGUGAAUGAUGUGC